UUAAAAUGCUAAAAGAAGAAGAAACAGUGGACAGCAAGAAUACACACAUUCAUGUUUGCUUAUAUAUGGGUAAAGAAACUCAGGAAAGUUACAGGAGGAGCUAAUAACAGUGGUUAAUUACAAUGGUAGAGGAGAGGCUUGGCAGAUAAGGGACUCGUUUGCAGAUAUGACUUUCCUUUGUGUACAUUUCUAUAUAUUAUUUUACUUCUUCUGAAAAUGCCACAUAAUUUGCAAUAAAUGAUUCACUCCUUAGCUCCAAAAGCAAGUCCUUUAUCAAAAUGCAAAUGUUCCAGAGGGAUGUAGCCAGAUUCUGUGGACCGCCGUCUUUUUCACCCUUAAGAAUCCGUCGCUAUGAUUUCUCUUCCUCUGCUUGGAGACCUUUAGAGAGCCAGCCUGCAGCUGCUCAGAGCAUUGACUACUAAACAGCUCACAGUUGCUAUUGCUGAAAAUGCCCGGUGGUUAUGCCUUGCCUGACCAGGGGUAGCCCACAGCUGAUGACAGGCCCCCUUGCCUCAAGGUGGGACAACUUCGGUGGUGCCAUUCAUAUCCAGAGCUGCCUGGAAUCAGGCCGAGGCUGGACAUCAGCCGACCCCGCAUCUUUGCUGAGUUUAUUCCUCUGCUGUACUUCCCUCGCUUCCCUCACCUCCUUCUUGGUUUCUCCUGAGAGCCUCCCUCAAUAAAUCACUUACCCCAGAAUCCUUGUCUCAGACUCCGCUUCUAGGACCCAACUUAAGACAUUCACAAAAUAAAUCACAUUGAUGGAAAACAGAUCCCAUUCUCCAAAAUGAAUAACCAGUAGGCACUUGUGACUAGCACAAGCAUCAGCAUAUCCACAUGGUGCUAAACUAACACCAACCCAAAGCAGAUAGUGCUGGGUGGACUCGGUACAAGUUAAUAGCUCAUGGGUCUCCAUCCCCAACACCUUCAGACCCAAGGCUCCAGGGCUGCCAGCCUGAGAACCCUAAGUCAUGAUUUUGGGCACUUUGGCUGGAUUUCCUAGCAACUGGCUGAGAGCAGGACAGGUAAACAGAGUUGGGAGGAGGAAGCAAAAAAGGCUAGAGUGGACAUCAGUUGACUUUGCCUGCCAUGGUAGAGACUUUCAGUCAUCCACCAUAAUCCAUCCCCAUUCUGCUGCACAGAAGUAUUGUGGCUGAGACACCUGCUUUUCUCCACCCCUCUAGUUAAUGUGACUAAAUUCUCCCUAUGGAAUGGGAAUGGAAGGGCCAUACCCAGGCCAGUGUCUUCAGGUAGGGGCUGUGACCCUUCCACACCUGUACCAGACACAAUCAUCAUCUCACUGGGUUUUGCCAGCUUUCAGGUCUAUGUGCUGAAAGCUGCUUACAGCUAACCUCUGCAGAUUUUCCUGGCACAGGAGGCAUGCUUGGCCAGUGCACAGGGCAAGUUGGAAGGGCCCUAAUGUCAGCAGCCUUCAACCAAUGAUGGAUGGAAAGUUGCAGACAGUGUCCUAUGCAUCUGCAGUGGGAUAACUCUGAGACGUGUGCUGUACUGCCUCCUAGAGGGCCCAGGGUGAUUAAGCACCAGUUACCCACAGCAGUAACUUCCUUGAUUCUGUUCCCCACAUGGGCACUUUUCUUCCUGUCACACCUCCCCAAUCCCCUGCAGAUACUUUCUGGGAUUGCUUCCUAAACAAUCCACUUGAACUUUUUUUUUUUUUCUUUUUUUUGACAUGGAGUAUUGCUCUUGUUGCCCAGGUUGGAGUGCAAUGGCACGAUCUUGGCUCACUGCAACUUCCGCUUCCUGGGUUCAAGCAAUUCUCCUGCCUCAGCCUCCUGAGUAGCUGGGAUUACAGGCGCCUGCCAUCACGCCUGGCUAAUUUUUGUAUUUUCAGUAGAGACGGGGUUUCGCCAUGUUGGCCACGCUGGUCUCAAACUCCUGACCUCGUGAUCUGCCCGCCUCGGCCUCCCAAAGUGCUGGGAUUACCGGCGUGAGCCACCGUGCCCAGCCCCACUUGAACUUUAAUCCUUGCCUCGGAAUUGGCUUCUGGGGAAACCAAAAAUAUAUUAAAAAAAGAGAGACCAGGACCUUAAAAAGAGCCCAAGUUGUUGAGCUCCCUGCCAAGUCACCCCCAGGUAUCUCUGCCCACCAGCUUGCAUGAGCCAGAUCCUCAGUGCAGGUUUUUCCAAUCAGUCAUUUGUUCUUCCACCCAACGCUCAAGAUUUGCUUCUUCAAGACAACUCUCUGAUCAGCUGAGACCCAUAGACACCCAGCUUCUACCACACAUAUGAUGGCAUUAUCCUAGGGCAUGGCAGAGCAACGCAAGGGAAAACUCUGGGCCCCCAAGUGAUGUCAUGGAGGAGAACUCUCAACCCAGAACUACUACGUGAGAAACAACGCUCUCUCUUCUUUAAGCCAUAGGUGUGUUGGGAAUCUUUGUUACAGCAGCACGCCUGAUCUUUUGUUUUGUUUUGUUUUGUUUUAGAGAUGGAGUCUUGCUCUUUCGCCAGGCUGGAGUGCAGUGGUGCGAUCUUGGCUCACCAUGUUGGUCAGGCUGGUUUCAAAUCCCUGACCUCAAGUGAUCCUCCCACCUUGGCCUCCCAAAGUGCUGGGAUUACAGGUGUGAGCCACCGCACCCGGCCCAGCCAUGCCUUGUCUUAACUAGCAUAGCCGCCCAACGUCCACUUCUUUUGGCCAUGUUGUCCUGAUUCUGCUGGAGAAUCCCUUUCCCACUGCUCCCAGACCAGUGGUGUAGCUGACCUGCGCUCUCUCCACUCAAUUCAGGGGAGGGAGGGGUUUAGGCCUGGGCUAAGAGAGCUGCACAUUUCCCAGGGCACAGUGAUUAGUUGAGGGUGGGUCCCAGAGCCAAAUCUGCCCAAGAUCUUAGCCUGAAAGAGAAACCCUCCUGCUGAGUGACUGCACUGUGAGGCAGAAGUCCAGAGCUGUGGGUGGCCAUCCAGCCUCCAUUUGCGCCUGCCUGAGAAAGAAGCCACCAUGGGGGAAAUCGAGCUAAAAGACGGAGAGGGAGGUAAGAGAGGAUGACAUCACAUAAGCACCAGAUCUGGCCACCCCUGAAACUGGAACAACCCUAAGCUUUACAGCUACUACAUUCCCUUUUCUGCUGAAGUUGUUUUACACUGGGUUUCUGUCUCUUGCAACCAAGAGCUCUGUUAAAUAAAAACCUGACCCUAAGGAGAACGUUAGCUGGUUCACAAUUCCCUGUGCAAAACAGGCACAGGUCAGCUGCCCCAGCCUGUCGUUUGGAUAUUCCUUUCUAAGAACGCUCACUUUUGUUGUCUACAUGACCCAGAUAACCAAGGAGAAAGCAAAUCAACCGCCUUCCAGCGGCGCCUUCCUUGGCAGCAAGUGCUAAGAGAGAACACAAUGUGAGUACUCUGCCCUCUGGAGUCAGGGUUGAUCCUCAGCACUUGCUGUCCUGGGAGGCUGCACCUGUGACACUUGAGUGCCAGGUUCAACCCCUACUGCUGCUGCUGCUGCCUGAAUGGGGCCAUUUAGACUGUUGAGUGCUACAGCCUCAGCCCAGGAACCCGGAGCUUCACAUGAGGCAGAGCAGGGCCCCAGGGUCCCUGAAACUUGCCAGUUCAAACAGCAGAGGGGUGAGGACUCCCCAGUCAGCCCUGGUCUCAUACCUGCCUCUGCAUGGUCCCAGUCCAGCCUGAGGCCUUUGCUUUCUUUUUUGAAGGGAAGGUGAGGAGAGAGGGGGAAAAUAGAGGUGUUCUGACUAGACUUAGGAUUCCUGGCCUCUGCCUCUGACCGCCAGAGGACAGCCUCUGCAGUUGCCUCAUCUACUCAUGAAAACAGGCCUGUGACCCCAGGGGUGCUCUGAGGAUUCUUCCAGAAAACAUCUGCCCAGCUAGGACUACCUAGCUCACUGCCCAAAAAGGGUUCAUUUCCUUUCCUUCUGAAACAAAAGCGCUUAAUUGGAAGAGAAGCAUUGACUCAAGCUAUAGGAUAUGCCACUUAAAAUGUCCAGAUCUUGGCACAAGGCCUGGCGCACAGUGUGGGAGAGAAGGAGAGAAGAAGGUGGAAGGAAAGGAGGGAGGGGAAAGAGGAAGCAGGGAGGGAGAAAAUAAGACAAGGGCCUCCUCAUCUGGAUGCUUCCCUAGACCAAGAAGUGGCCCAGGUGGUGCCCAGGGGACAGGGAGUGGGCAAUAAAAGACAAUGGGGUGUAGGUGAUAGGGUGUAGAUGAUCAGGGUAUAGGUGAUCAGGAUGUAGGUGAUGGGGUGUAGAUGACUGGGGUAUAGAUGAUUGAAGUGUAGGUGAUGGGGUAUAGAUGAUCGAGGUGUAGGUGAUGGGGUAUAGAUGAUUGAGGUGUAGGUGAUGGGGUGUAGGUGAUGGGGGUCAAGGUGAUCAAGGUGUAGGUGAUGGGGUGUUGGUGAUGGGGUGUAGAUGAUUGGGAUAUAGAUGAUCGAGAUGUAGGUGAUGGGGUAUAGAUGAUCAAGGUGUAGGUGAUGGGGUAUAGAUGAUUGAGGUGUAGGUGAUGGGGGUCAAGGUGAUCAAGGUGUUGGUGAUGGGGUGUUGGUGAUCGGGGUGUAAGUGAUGAGGUAUAGGUGGUGGGGUGUAGAUGAUUGGGGUGUAGGUGAUGGGGUGUAGGUGACGGGUAUAGGUGAUGGGGUAUAGAUGAUCAGGGUGUAGGUGAUUGGGGUGUAGGUGAUGGGGUGUUGGUGAUUGGGGUGUAGGUGAUCAGGGUGUAAGUGAUGAGGUAUAGGUGAUGCAGUGUAGGUGAUCAGGGUAUAGGUGAUGAGGUGUAGGUGAUGGAGUGUAGAUGAUUGAGGUGUAGGUGAUGGGGUAUAGGUGAUUGGGGUGUAGGCAAUGGGGUGUAGGUGAUCGGGGUCAAGGUGAUAGAGGUGUAGGUGAUGGGGUGUUGGUGAUUGGGGUGUAGGUGAUCAGGGUGUAGGUGAUCAGGGUGUAGGUGAUCCGAACUUCCUACUCAAUUCAGGCAACAGCUCCCAGCCUGAGGCAAAUACCCCCCGAGGCAGUCAGGGUCUCACCUCCCAUGGCUCUGACGCAGGCCUCCAAGGUGAGGAGAUGGAGGUAGCAGAGGUCACUUCACUCAGCUGUCACACACCCUGAGGGAACUCCUGUCACUGUUAUCCCACCUGCAAGUGAGGAGCCAGCAUUUCUCAUGCUCCAGGGUUGGCCACAGAGCCCAUUCAAGGGAGGGAGAAGAGCCUUCGGCCAGCGCAUCCUAACCGCAGAAAGCCAAGACCUCUGCAGAAAAAGAGACCAGGCCCAUAAAAAGAGAUCCAUGAGUUGAGUUCCCUGCCAUGCCACCCCCAGGCAUCUCUGCCCACCAGCCUGCAUGAGCCAGCCCCUCAGUGCAGGUUUUUCCAAUUGGCCGUUUGUUCUUCCACCCAACACUCAAGAUUUGCUUCUCAGCCUGGACAACAUAGCAAAACCCCAUCUCUACAAAAAAUACAAAAAUUAGCUGGGCAUAGUGGCACACACCUAUAGUCCCAGCUACUCGGGAGGCUGAAGUGGGAAGAUUACCUGAGCCUGGGAGGUCAAGGUUGCAGUGAGCCAUGAUCAUGCCACUGUACUCCAGCCUGGGUGACAGAGUGAGAACUUGUCUCAAAAACAAAAAAAGAGAGGAAGAUCUGCUUCUUCAAACCCACACAACUAAUAUAAAGUAAUCAACCUCCCCACCUCAAUAACCUGAAGUUAAACAUCACACAAUAAGCCCUGAACAGAGAGCUGUAGGUCAAUGUUCCAUUUUGCUUUUAAAAGCUUCACAAGAACAUUUCAUUUAUUAAAAUAGUUUCUGUAAACUCUUUCAGAAUAACAAAAUUCACUUGCCUUGCUUAAACAGCAUUUCAAGUAGAAGUAUUUUUAUUUCAAGGCACCAUAAAAUGAUGAUCUCUCUAAGAAAUACCUCUCCUUC
rnacentral:lncRNA from 1 species